rnacentral:rRNA from 1 species
AACGAACGCUGGCGGCAGGCUUAACACAUGCAAGUCGAGCGCCCCGCAAGGGGAGCGGCAGACGGGUGAGUAACGCGUGGGAACGUACCCUUUGCUACGGAAUAGCUCCGGGAAACUGGAAUUAAUACCGUAUGUGUCCUACGGGGGAAAGAUUUAUCGGCAAAUGAUGAGACCGCGUUGGAUUAGCUAGUUGGUGGGGUAAAGGCCUACCAAGGCGACGAUCCAUAGCUGGUCUGAGAGGAUGAUCAGCCACACUGGGACUGAGACACGGCCCAGACUCCUACGGGAGGCAGCAGUGGGGAAUAUUGGACAAUGGGCGCAAGCCUGAUCCAGCCAUGCCGCGUGAGUGAUGAAGGCCCUAGGGUUGUAAAGCUCCUUCACCGGUGAAGAUAAUGACGGUAACCGGAGAAGAAGCCCCGGCUAACUUCGUGCCAGCAGCCGCGGUAAAAC